CGCAGUCUUCGCGGAAAGCGUUCGGGGUAGGCGAUGGCUGCGACGCGUGCAGGGCCCCGCGCCCGCGAGAUCUUCACCUCGCUGGAGUACGGACCGGUGCCGGAGAGCCACGCAUGCGCACUGGCCUGGCUGGACACCCAGGACCGGUGCUUGGGCCACUAUGUGAAUGGGAAGUGGUUAAAGCCUGAACACAGAAAUUCAGUGCCUUGCCAGGAUCCCAUCACAGGCUGGCCGAGGUGAUCCAGAAGCACCAGCGGCUGCUGUGGACCCUGGAAUCCCUGGUGACU
rnacentral:lncRNA from 1 species